UGACAACAGUUGCUCAGUGCUCAGUGCCCAGUAUCUGCCUCCUUACCAUGCCACUAUAAUAGUUGGGAACCCGUCAACAAUUGAGCAUCUUCUAUACAAAUAUGUUGCAGACCAUCUGUAUAGUUUUCAGUUCCAGAAGAUUCCAGUAACUCACUAAGUUUUAAUACUUUUUUUUUCUUCUUGUUACUCUGAUGGACUGCCCUGAGAUAAGUGAUAAAAGCAAAAGUCUGACAUAAUUUCUUCGGAGCUAAAACUGCACAGAAGUUGCCAAUUCCUGUAUUUGUUUUCUUACAAGAAACUUGAAGCAGGCAUUUUCCACUCUUAACAAUUUUAAGGUGCUAUCAAGUCAUCUUUAUUUUUUGGGUCAGAAAAACAUUUUGGUGAAAACGAUUGCUAACAUAAUCUUAGAAAAUAUUUGAACAGGCAAUUCUGAAGUUUUUCCAGAGACUUGGUGUUAUAGAGACCAGUAGAGUGAAAGGAUCCCAUCAUCAAAAUACAUGCAAAGAAAGGAAGAAUGAAGGAAUUCAUAACACCAUGUACAAUGAAUGUGCCUCAGUGCUCCUAAAGGAGGAAUCCCUUCCAGCAUCCAACAGCCAAUAUUAUGUGCCUCAGCCCAUUGAAAAUUUAGGCAAAAAUUAUCUUCUGAGUAAUAAAAUAGAAAGUAAAGCCUGUAUUCAAAAAGUAGAGGGGAUUGUAGAUGUUCUGAGGUUCUGGUUCCUGGCCUCAGUUUCCUGUUUUCAGUAGUACUGUAACAAAAAUUGCAAAGUUUUUUCCAAGAAAAAGAACCAGAAUCAAUCUACUACCACUAUUUGAGAGUGAUUUAUCACUUACUGAGGUAAUCCUGGGGUUUCGGAUCAGAAAUACAGAGAGAUGCAUGGUCAACUCAUGUCACUUCUGUCACCCUGCUGAAUGCCAUGUAACACUGCCAAUGCUUGGAAGCACUGACUGCUGGCAUCUGCAAGAUGGAAGGAAAGGAAGACCUGGACGCAUUGACUACAUCUAAACUGUUAAACAAAAUUAGUCAGAGAAUUUUCCUGGAGGCCAGCUGGCAUGAAAGAGCUUGAAUUCACACAGAUAAACUCUCUUGCCCUCCAAAUCAUGGUGGCCACAUCCAAAAUAUCUACUGGAGAUGGUGCCUGACUUGGGUCAAUACCCAAGCUGUGCUUUGGUAUUGACCAAAUUCCAUGUCUGGAAGAGCAUUAGCAGUCUUGAACCAAAACCAUGGCAGGGACCAGUUUAGUGGUAUGGAUGGUUUCGGGCCCAUGCCUUGCUGGUCUUGUUUAGUUUAUUUAAUGUCAGAGGGAAACCUCAGUAAUUCUGCCAGGAGUCAACAGGAAACGCCUUCUGGCCUCAUCAACCAGAAGCUGCUGAGAAGUAUAAUCAUUAGGUUGUUCACCUCCUUCACAUUUGGAUUCUUUUCCUUGUGUUAUUUUUUACCAAAUGAGCACUGAAAAUUUUUGAAAUCUCAUAGAGUAAUAAAAUUGGGUUGUUGCCUGCGCAAAACUUGUUGGUUUUGAACUACCAAGAGAUUUCUCACACAAGCUGAGCUUCUGUAAAAGCCAGCUUCAGCUCUCCUCCCUGAUGAAGGGUCUCCUAUGGCUUUGAGCAAGUUGCUAAGAGCUUGUGUGACCAGCCCCCUGUUUGGAUACAGGGGUAAAAAGCAAUGAGGUGUUGAGAUACAAACACACCAUUUGCUUGAGGUCACAUAAACAUGCUGAACUGAUGUGAACAUAAAAUUUCCCUUGAUUUCUGUGGCAACUUAUUUCAUAUGUCUGGGUGGGCAAUUUAUUUUAAACCCUGCAAAAAGGACAUGACUACGUUGUUAUAGCAGGAUCUUUUCAAGGUCAGAGCUCUGGGGUUGGCUUUGGGUAAGCCUGAUAUGUCCUUCAUACAGUGUGGGGUAGGGGAGAACUCCUGCUCUGUGUUUCUAGAGCUAACUUUGUGCAAUGGUACCCCUGAUUAUCCUAUGGAACACUCUACUUCACAGUUUUGUGUUAUACUUCUGCCUGCAGCAAUAUAAAUCAGAAUCAGGUAAUUAAUGCCUGAAUCUUUUUCUCUAUUCUGAAGAUAAAUGGCAGUGAAGGCCGAGUAGUUUUAAAAAGCUCAUAGUACAAAAUUAUCGUAUUAGACCAUGCUGUAUUACUGAGAUUACAGAAAAUUACCUACGUGUAUUGAAUUAAACCAUGAUUUUCCAAUGGUCUCAGCAGCAGAACUGGGACAAUUUCAUCAUUGCAUUAUCAGUUUGGUAGGUAAUUAGUAUCCUGAAUUGCUUCUCAGAAUGAAAAAAUGGUAUUGUUUUAUCCAGAAACUAGCCCUUUUUUAACUUGCAGCACUAGCCCUUACUUUUCUUAGACCUCAGGCAUGAAUUUCUGAGGCUGACAGGUACUGAUUUCAACAACACUUAGAGCAGUGCAUGUUUUGCCUCGGGUUUGCUGCAGGAUGGGUGUGCUCUUAAUUAAUGUGGUCAUUUGAUGUACAGCACCUUGCUGACUAUUAGAACUAGAUUGUGUGCUUUUACCCAGUGUUCCUUUUUGAGUAAAAAGUCUAUUUCAUAAUUUACUUAUUCAUGGGUCAGUCUCAUAAAGAAGUUUGUAGAGCCCUACUUGUGUAUAGUCAUACCUGGAACAGGCUGUGUAAAUCUUAUUUAAUGAAAAUGUUAUGAAGCAAAGAAUCGAGUUAUUGCCCAGAAUUAUAUACUCAGAAAUUGUCAAUUUUUCUCUGAGCUGGAUUUUGAAAAGCAGGAAGUAUGGUAAAGCAGAGGAGGAGCAUUUAACCUUAUCUAUUUUGCCUCCCUUUUCCUUCCCUUUUCUGUCUUGCCCCUCAAUCUUCAAGCCCUCUCCCAUGGAUGCUUGCAUAUGGUAGUGGCUCUACUCAGGCCUGCUGAGACCAGCGCAUCAGUUAAGGUUUGUAAGGCCACAAUGUGUUUAUUUUUGCAGCCUGAUCUUGUGAGAAACUGAGGAGGUCUUGCAUCUCCCUCCUACUGAUAACAGUGGUGUUGAAAGAGCUCUGUGCAUUCCAGGGCAAAGCCUUGGAGGUUAGAGAGCUUCUAACUCUCCUUUGGAAGUACAUGCAGAUUCCUUUGGCCUUCACUGGGGGAAAGCCUGGCUUCUCACUAAAGAAAAAGAAAAGAAAACAAAGAAAACCUAAGAUACAAACCCCCAACACAAUACUCAUGGUGGUCCAAAUAAAACAUAAAAACCCCAAUCUCAGCCCAAGCACUCAGUCUAGGGAGGCUUUGCAAUUAGGGGCUUGAAGCUCGACCCAGGGCUGAGUCAUGGUCUCUUUGUGGAAGAAAGGUACAGGCUCUGGCCAUGCUCAAGUGAGCUUUGGUGUGCAAGGAUGUAGCCCAGAGGCCUGGGCUGGUAGUCCCUGCCUGCUGGCUCAGUGCUCAUUCAUCCUGCACAGGCUCUGAGCUGCGCUCUGCAGCCAUCACCCCAGGCUUCAUCUCAGGCUCUUUUUGACCCUCUUUGGCUGUUUUAAAGCUGGAUCCUUUCAGCUUAUGUUCUCUCUCAAGCAAUUUGCUCUCCUCCCCCCCUGCCCCUUCUCUACUUCCACAACUGAACUCACUUUUCCAAACUCCCCAUUCCACCAUCUAUCCACUCCAUAUGUUUAUAUUUUCCUAUUGCUGAGGCAUGGCAUGCUGACCUGCCUGGACAGAGCUCCUUUAUCACAGAGAUAAACAUGAUGUCCCUCUCACAUAGAGUUUCUAUCAUGUGUGACCUUUCAUCUUGAACUGCCAUGACCUUUUUUUUUAUUAAUGCUGUACUGUGCUGCUUGCAGAAGCCAGGAAAGAAAAUCUUUUGUUUCUAGAUAGAAUACUGCUAAAGGACAUGAUACGGUCUUGUUUUUAAUCCAGCUAAUUAAAAUCUGCAUGUGCAGUGUAACUGAGAAUGCAGCCUUCGCCCACCACUUUCCCACAGGCAGGGAAUAAAGGCCUUUAGUGCAGCAGCAGCUAGCCACCCUUGGAUAACAGAGAACAGAGACCACAAUUCAUCCCAGCUUUCCUUAUCAUAUUCGCAGAGGGCUUUCCCCUCCCUCCCUCCCUCCUCUUUCUCUCCCCCUCUCUCUCCAUGGAAUCACUUACUGUAGCUAUGUGCCUCUAUAUAUCACUGCAGAAUGUAAUCAAGUUAAAAAUAUGUGAGCUUGCAUUUAUCUAUGCUCCAGUGAGCUUCAAAUAUAAUUCAUUUCUAGUGAAAAAAAAAAAAAAAAGAAAGAAAGAGGAGGGGUAGAAGGGGCGAAUGAGAAAGAGAAAGAAAAAAGAGAAAGAAAAAAGAAAGAAAAAGUGUCUAUUUCUAAGCAAGUGUCAACCCUACUUAUUUUAAAAGAGUUCUGCCAAGAACUAACUGAAUAUCACAGUUUAGCAGUUCACACUUUUGUAUGUUCAUUAUGUUGGCUUUUUUGGAUUUACUGGAUAGUUGUGGUUAUUACUAAAGCUGCCUUUUGUGUGUGUUUGUGUGUCAGAAAGAGCGUGCCAUGGAAUUUGUUUCUUAUGAAACAUUUUCUUGGUUAGUUUUUCACUUGUUGGUUUUUGUUGGGUAACUGAAGUCAGGAGGGAGGAGGAAAAGGAGGGCAGCCUGGUGGUAAGGAGCAGUGAGGGCAGAAUGGGAAGCAUUAAAAUUGAGCCCUCACCUGUUUUCUCUUUCUUCAAGUUAUAUUUUGGAUGAUGAUGAUGAUGAAGUCAUCAGGAUGCAUAAAAAUGUGCCAGGAGAUUCAAAACUUGGAAAGAGAUUUUGUGACAUGAGUAGAAAAUACAUUUCAGUGCAUGUGCAGAAGCCCUUCCCCCAGAGAGGCACACAAACAGGCUUUCUGUGGUCAUUCCCUGGUAACCCGCACAAAGAGCUGCUCAAACAGCUGUGCCUUUGGCUGAGCACCAUCCAUGGGGCUGCUGUGGAAAAUGCUGAUUUUGGGGCAUUAACUUCCCCAACACAAAUUCAGAGAAAUAUACUUACAAGUAUUAAUGGAAGGGAUUGUGAACCCUGAAUAAAUAUGCGCCGUGUUGGGAAAUUAUUCCCUUUAUUGAUCAUAACAAAAGAUUCAUGUGUUCGUUGUAAUGAUUAAAGAUAUAUGAAAAAGUGAUAAUUUGAAUUCCAAUACAACUUAUUAGGUGACAUCAGUCUAACUAAAGUACCUGAAAAAUACCAAAAUAUUUUAGAAACAGAGAACAGUAUUAUUAAAAUAUGACAGAAUAUCAUGCUGCCUAUAUAUUAAAAUAUGCCAUGUUGAUGAAGCAUGAGAGUGCUUUUCAUCAAAAUGUGGUUAUCUUAUGCUGAAAAUUUGGUUAUCUUAUGCUGAACUUAAGCAGGAAUAGAGAUCUGUACACUUUUCUACUUUUACUACCUAUAGAGGGACAAUAUUCAAUAAGAAAUAGCUAUUACUAUGCUUGUAUAGUUCUGAUAUAUUAUGUUUAUAUACCAUGGCAUAAGUUUUUAUGUAUUUUGGAAUUAGUGUCAAAUCAGUAGAACAGUGACAAGAAGACAUUUAUAUGUAUUUUACCAAGUUAAGGUUUUCUGUUUCUCAUCUUUUGAGGAAUAUAUUCAAUAAUUGCUUUUUAAUAGUAACACCUACUUUGACGCACUGAAAAGGUUGUUAAUGUCAAGUCACAUAUUUGAUAUAAAAUUAGUGUUUGCAUAUUGCAUAAGCAAUAUAAGAUUUAUGAAGCUUCAUGUAUUCCAUUUAAGUGGGCUAAUCCUAAUAAAUACGGUAUUUUUUAUUGUU